UACGGGGGGGGCAAGCGUUGUUCGGAAUUACUGGGCGUAAAGGGUUCGUAGGUGGCUUGUUAAGUCAGACGUGAAAUCCCUCGGCUCAACCGGGGAACUGCGUCUGAGACUGAUGAGCUUGAGUGCAGGAGAGGAACGCGGAAUUCCAGGUGUAGCGGUGAAAUGCGUAGAUAUCUGGAGGAACACCGGUGGCGAAGGCGGCGUUCUGGACUGCAACUGACACUGAGGAACGAAAGCCAGGGGAGCAAACGGG
rnacentral:rRNA from 1 species